GAUGAAGAACGCAGUGAAAUGCGAUAAGUAGUGUGAAUUGCAGAAUUCAGUGAAUCAUCGAAUCUUUGAACGCACAUUGCGCCCCUUGGUAUUCCAUGGGGCAUGCCUGUUCGAGCGUCAUUUGUACCUUCAAGCUUUGCUUGGUGUUGGGUGUUUGUCCAUUCUCUUGCAGAGGGACUCGCCUUAAAGUAAUUGGCAGCCAGUGUUUUGGUUUUGAAGCGCAGCACAAGUCGCGAUUCAAAGCUAUACGCCCGCUUCCACAAGCCUUUUUCGCUUUUGACCUCGGAUCAGGUAGGGAUACCCGCUGAACUUAAGCAUAUCAAUAAGCGGAGGA
rnacentral:misc_RNA from 1 species